rnacentral:rRNA from 1 species
UACGUAGGGUCCGAGCGUUGUCCGGAAUUAUUGGGCGUAAAGGGCUCGUAGGCGGUUCGUCACGUCGGGAGUGAAAACUCGGAGCUUAACUCCGAGCCUGCUUCCGAUACGGGCAGACUAGAGGUAGGCAGGGGAGAGCGGAACUCCUGGUGUAGCGGUGGAAUGCGCAGAUAUCAGGAAGAACACCGGUGGCGAAGGCGGCUCUCUGGGCCUUACCUGACGCUGAGGAACGAAAGCUAGGGGAGCAAACAGG